rnacentral:rRNA from 1 species
UUCGGUGGUAAUGCGUUUAUGGGAAACACCCGUUCUCAUACCGAACACGAUGGUUAAGACAUAAACGGUCGAUGGUACUUAGUUGGAGACGACUUGGGAGAGUAGAUGGCUGCCGAUU